UCCCUAUUAGCUUAGUGGCAGAGCGUCUAUCUUGUAAACAGAAGGUCGGUGGUUCGAUUCCGGCAAAAGGAA
rfam:Caenorhabditis brenneri strain PB2801 C_brenneri-6.0.1_Cont204.5, whole genome shotgun sequence.